rnacentral:rRNA from 1 species
UACGUAGGGUGCGAGCGUUAAUCGGAAUUACUGGGCGUAAAGCGUGCACAGGCGGUGAUGUAAGACAGAUGUGAAAUCCCCGGGCUCAACCUGGGAACUGCAUUUGUGACUGCAUCGCUGGAGUGCGGCAGAGGGGGAUGGAAUUCCGCGUGUAGCAGUGAAAUGCGUAGAUAUGCGGAGGAACACCGAUGGCGAAGGCAAUCCCCUGGGCCUGCACUGACGCUCAUGCACGAAAGCGUGGGGAGCAAACAGG